rnacentral:rRNA from 1 species
UAGGGAAUCUUCGGCAAUGGACGGAAGUCUGACCGAGCAACGCCGCGUGAGUGAAGAAGGUUUUCGGAUCGUAAGGCUCUGUUGUAAGAGAAGAACGAGUGUGAGAGUGGAAAGUUCACACUGUGACGGUAUCUUACCAGAAAGGGACGGCUAACUACGUGCCAGCAGCCGCGGUAAUACGUAGGUCCCGAGCGUUGUCCGGAUUUAUUGGGCGUAAAGCGAGCGCAGGCGGUUAGAUAAGUCUGAAGUUAAAGGCUGUGGCUUAACCAUAGUACGCUUUGGAAACUGUUUAACUUGAGUGCAAGAGGGGAGAGUGGAAUUCCAUGUGUAGCGGUGAAAUGUGUAGAUAUAUGGAGGAACACCGGUGGCGAAAGCGGCUCUCUGGCUUGUAACUGACGCUGAGGCUCGAAAGCGUGGGGAGCAAACAGGAUUAGAUACCCUGGUAGUCCACGCCGUAAACGAUGAGUGCUAGGUGUUAGACCCUUUCCGGGGUUUAGUGCCGCAGCUAACGCAUUAAGCACUCCGCCUGGGGAGUACGACCGCAAGGUUG